rnacentral:rRNA from 1 species
UACGUAGGGUGCGAGCGUUGUCCGGAUUUAUUGGGCGUAAAGGGCUCGUAGGCGGCGUGUCGCGUCGGGGAGUGAAAAGACCGGGGGCUUAACCCCCGGUUCUGCUUCCGGUACGGGCAUGCUGGAGUGUGGCAGGGGGAGACUGGAAUUCCUGGUGUAGCGGUGGAAUGCGCAGAUAUCAGGAGGAACACCGGUGGCGAAGGCGGGUCUCUGGGCCAUUACUGACGCUGAGGAGCGAAAGCGUGGGGGAGCGAAACAGG